ACAUUGAUUUGCGGGAGAGGACCCAACAUGGAUUUCAGAAAGUAUGCUUGAAAGAAUAGGUUAAACGGGCAUAUAAAUGUCCCAAGUCAACGGGUACUUUCACACUGGACAUUUGAAUGUAUAAACAUCAGAUUCCUUCCAGACGCCUUUCUGAAUCUGCUCCCUUUCACAGGUAUUGGGUGGCAGCUCCCAUCAUCUUUCGUCAAUAUGAGUUUGGCUGGGAGGAUUGAGGUGGUAGCCCCUCUGACCUGGAAGGUGUCCCUUUCAGGAAAGUUACAUGACAGCAAACUCGCUCUGCUCAUCUUUUGGAACUAGACCUCUUUCGUCAGCAAAUGGUUUUCUCCUCUUUUGCACCUUCAGAAACCUGGAGGGCUGUGUCACACGCAAGUCUUAUGAAAAAGCUGGAAGAGUUCUCCCUUCAACAAUCCAGGGCAUUUUUGUCGCAGCAGAAGAGAUGUCUUGCUAAGCUCCCUGAAUUUAGCCAGUGCCAAGGGGACGGGAACUCAAGUGACAGCUCCUCGGAUGAUGAGGAAGAUACAGAAGUGAAAGACCCAGAGAAAAUGGAAAGAAAAACGAAGGCAUUAUCCCGGCCCUCACGCAGGGAUUGCACUGGGAAAAGCUUCCUGCUGCAGCAGCUUCGUCACUUCGGCAGAAGAAUGCCCCAGUCUUCAGCUGUUGAAGAAAGGGACGAAAACCUCACAAGUCCAGAAAGACCUGACCUUUCAAGAGACAGAAGCAGCCGCGGCCUAAUACAAAGAGGUCUGGCUUCAGUGGGUCCAACUGACUCAGAAUUAAAUGGAAAGAGCUUCCCGCUGGGGUGUCCUAACGGUGUAGCUAAGCCCCCAAGAGAGGUCAAGAGAGAUGCUGAGGAAGAGCCAUGCCCCAAAUUCCCUCCAGAGACUUCUGCAGACGGAGGAGGAGAAUACCCAAGGUAUUGUAUGAAAAAACCCUCACACCCCACAUUUACUUCAAGGUUAACAAAGCUUAUAUGGUGCCUUCUGGGUUUUUUUGAUCCUUACAAUAAUCCUGUGUGAGAAGAGCUGAAAGACAAUAAUUAGUCUCAGGUUCCCCCUAGAACUUCGUGACAGAGGUGUGACACGGUGCCUCCUCCAUCUCAGAUACCACACUGUCACCUCAAAGCAGCCGGAAGCCUUUUAGGUCCUGUGGAACUCCAGUUCCCAUGAUCCCUGGCAAGCCAUUCUGGCUGAUGGGAGUGGAGGCCGAGCAAGAUCUGAAGAGUAGUUUGCUUUCAUUGUUUCACCGCACGGUCUCUCCACAGCAGUCCCUGUUUUUAAUUUUAAUUUACAGAACAAUGGGACCACAGAUUUGGAACGCAGAGCAGUGGAGGACCUCGUGGACGAGGAAGCCAAAUUUGGGGGCCUGCAGAGGAAAUGUGGCAUUGUGAUGCAGGGAGUGCAAUGCCAAAUGAGAAAAUAAUGGGUUGAAAGAAAGCGAUCUUAGGACAGGAGAAGUGAAAACAGACAAAGGGUGGGGGAGAAAAAGCAAGCAUACAUACUCCAAAGAUCCCUAGCUGCAAAAAAAAAAAGUUAGGUUCCUGAUACAAUUCAAGAAAGCUUAUUUAUUAAAGGGGUUUAUUGAAGAUAUAACUGAUUGGUAACUCAGUGGUUUAGACAUCUGGCUGCAGAUUGAGAGGAGUUCAAUCCUUGAGGAAGGAGAGCCAGCCUGGGUAGCCUUGGGCCGGCUGCAUAGUCUCAGAACGGCCCCAAGAAGAAAAGAAGGGGAAAACCCUUCUCAGUAUAUUCUCUACCUGGGUAACCCUGAAAAGCAUUACCAUAAGACAGAAUUGACUUGACAACAGGAUGGCACAUAAUGAUUAUUACUGAGAGCAUAAAGUUAUAUACCUAAAGAAACCUUCAUUACAAAAUGGUAUCCUUUGACCCAUGAAUGGGGAACUGGCCAUUAAGUUGUGACUAAAGUAAGCCCAUUGGAUCAGUGGAACCUACAGAGGAGUUGACUCACCAAAUCCCCAUCGAUGUAAUAGGCCUACCCUAGUUGUAACUCACUACCCUAAGCAACAGGAUUUCAGCCAGUAGAUAUUAUGUGAAAAGUUCUUGGUUUUUUACAUAAAUGUCUUUGAUAAGGAUUCCCCCUCCUCAAAAUACUUCAGGGGCCCAGCCUUGUGCAGCCUGCUUUGUUGUCGAGUGGAAAACUCACCAUACAAUUUGUGUGUCAUUUAAAAAAAAAGCAACAGAAAGAUUUCCCUGUUUUUGCACUUUGUAGGGCAGAAGAAAGCCAGAAAGAAAAGCAGGAAGAGGAGAUGCUCAAGAAACAGUAGCUGCAGGAAUGGCUGGAGAAACUAAAGCCUCAGAUACUCCAUUACUGCGAUGCAGCCCAUGGCUGAACAACCCCCCACCACCACAUCUUGUUCCAUGUGGUCCCCAGCACAGGAUAGCAGAACAACAUCUUGUCUUGUUCUUCCAAUUUCUGUCUCAUCUGUUAAAGCAAGAAAGAAAAGCCAACAACAUAUUUCAGGUCUUUCCAACCUGACAAGAGCUACAGUAGGAGUUUCUUCCUCUCCUUUUGCAGCCUUUUAUGAUGCUCAAAAUGUCUAAAAAGUUUUCCAUCCUUUCUGGACUGGGAGAGGGUUGGUUGUUGAUGCACCAGAGGCUCCAGGAGAAAGGUGGAUAUGGGGUUUCACUGACUCUGGCGAAGUAGCAGAUCCCAUAGAAGUAACUAUUCUAUCCUGGCCAAAUAUGCAUUUUGUGCACAUGACUUCUAAUAAAUGCAUUUGAAGAGUUCCCUUAAGAUGAUGC
ensembl:lncRNA chromosome unknown C16orf71 homolog